CAUGCAGUCGAACGAGAAUCUGUGGAUCGAGGAUUCGUCCAAAUGAAGCAGAGGACAGUGGCGGACGGGUGAGUAACGCGUGAGGAACCUGCCUUUCAGAGGGGGACAACAGUUGGAAACGACUGCUAAUACCGCAUGAUACAUUUGGGUGGCAUCAUCUGAAUGUCAAAGAUUUAUCGCUGAAAGAUGGCCUCGCGUCUGAUUAGCUAGUUGGUGGGGUAACGGCCCACCAAGGCGACGAUCAGUAGCCGGACUGAGAGGUUGACCGGCCACAUUGGGACUGAGAUACGGCCCAGACUCCUACGGGAGGCAGCAGUGGGGAAUAUUGGGCAAUGGGCGCAAGCCUGACCCAGCAACGCCGCGUGAAGGAAGAAGGCUUUCGGGUUGUAAACUUCUUUUAAGAGGGAAGAGCAGAAGACUGUACCUCUAGAAUAAGCCACGGCUAACUACGUGCCAGCAGCCGCGGUAAUACGUAGGUGGCAAGCGUUGUCCGGAUUUACUGGGUGUAAAGGGCGUGCAGCCGGGAAUGCAAGUCAGAUGUGAAAUCCAUGGGCUUAACCCAUGAACUGCAUUUGAAACUGUAUUUCUUGAGUACUGGAGAGGCAAUCGGAAUUCCUAGUGUAGCGGUGAAAUGCGUAGAUAUUAGGAAGAACACCAGUGGCGAAGGCGGAUUGCUGGACAGCAACUGACGGUGAGGCGCGAAAGUGUGGGGAGCAAACAGGAUUAGAUACCCUGGUAGUCCACACUGUAAACGAUGAAUACUAGGUGUGCGGGGACUGACCCCCUGCGUGCCGCAGUUAACACAAUAAGUAUUCCACCUGGGGAGUACGAUCGCAAGGUUGAAACUCAAAGGAAUUGACGGGGGCCCGCAC
rnacentral:rRNA from 1 species